UGAGAAUAUCUUCUGUUUGGCACUCAGAGUCUCGGGUACCUGAUCUCCUGUUGAUGUUAUUAGAGAAGUCUGGAUUUGCAUGCACAAUAACAUUCCGUUCUCUUGCUACUGGUGAUUCAUCAGAAUCUAGGAUACAUAGAUAAAAUUUUGUGAGUCAUCACAGCUUUCAACUGGCUAACAAAUUAUGACAUUGACAUUGGCCUAAAAAGUUUACAAGAAAGAAGAUUUCUAAUAAGUGAAGGGACUUUUUAAAAAUAAAUUGUACAGUUUCCAUUGUGCUGGUGCUGCAGUUCACAUAUGCAAUGGUACAACACACCAUGCAGCCUCCUGAUGUGAGCAGUGGCACUGGUGCAAUGAGCCUUGUGGCCUCCUGUGAAUAUGCAGCAUCCUGCCAAAUGAGGUGGCACCGGCACAAUAUGCCACAUGGCAUCUGGCCUUGAGCAACUGUGAGCAGCUGCAGAAGAAGUCAGGUAGCACCGCAACAAGUGUCGGGGCAUGGCUGCGGUGGUCCUAAGGUAAGCAGAUAAGACAUCCCCUGAAAACAAGACCUCGUUUGCCACCCGACCACAGUUGGGACAAAUUGACAGUCACGGUGAAAGCUGCACUACCAACAGACCCCUGGCUCACAGAUAAUAAAGAUGUAUCUGGGGCCCAAAAGAAAAUAAGACCAGGUCUUUGGAGAAACAUGGGUCAUACUAAAUGGAAACUGGUUUUCCCAGUUGCAAUGUAUGGCUGUGAUAGUUGGACCAAAGGAAGGCUGAACACCAAAGAAUUGAGGGUUUUGAACUAUGGUGCUGGAGAAGACUCCUGUGAGUCCCUUGGACUUCAAGGCAAUCAAACUGCUCAGUCCUAGAGGAGAUCAACCCUGACUUCUCUUUAGAAGGCCUGAUCCUGAAGUUGAAACUCAAAUACUUUGGCCAUCUAAUGAGAAGGAAGGACUGACUGGAGAAGAGCCUAAUGCUGGGAAAGAUUGAGGGCAAAAGAAGAACGGGACGACAGAGAAUGAGGUGGCUGGAUGGAGUCACUGAAGCAGUAGGUGUGAGCUUAAAUGGACUCCAGAGGAUGGUAGAGGACAGCAAAACCUGGAGGAAUGUUGUCCAUGGGGUCACUAUGGGUUGGACACAACUUCGCAACUAACAACAACAACAGCAACUAUGGAAAUAGGUAUGGGAAGUAUCAGAUCAAUAACUUUUGCCUAUUAAUCUCAAUUAAUCUAAUCAUGAAAUUUCUUCGAUGAAAUGGAACCAUGUAUAAUUUAUAAUGCACUAGUUAACCCACUGGAGCAUUAAAACAACUUUUAAUUUUUCUUCAUAAUGUUGUCCUUAUUGUUUUAUAAUAAUUUGUUUCAUAUUGUAUGUACAGUAUUCAUGAAAAUUGAUGUUAGGUGAUGUAGAAACAUCAGUAAUAACAUUGUCUAUGUGACUUAAUAUUGAA